rnacentral:lncRNA from 1 species
UGCGUUCUUCCUGUAUUCUCCCUCUAAGCUGCGCUGGUAAGGGUUGACUGAUACCCCGAGGGAUAGAUUGAAGCCAAACCCCAUAUCCUUGAGUGUAGCCCGGAUUAUCCAAACUUUCUUUGAGUGUGUCCACACCUAGCUUUGUUGUAUGCUUCCAAAACUGCUCAUACUUGCUCUCACCUAAGGCUUGGUCCUUGAAGUACUCAAUAUCCUUCAGAAGAU